AGAGUUUGAUCAUGGCUCAGAUUGAACGCUGGCGGCAGGCCUAACACAUGCAAGUCGAGCGGUAGCACAGAGAGCUUGCUCUCGGGUGACGAGCGGCGGACGGGUGAGUAAUGUCUGGGAAACUGCCUGAUGGAGGGGGAUAACUACUGGAAACGGUAGCUAAUACCGCAUAACGUCGCAAGACCAAAGAGGGGGACCUUCGGGCCUCUUGCCAUCGGAUGUGCCCAGAUGGGAUUAGCUAGUAGGUGGGGUAACGGCUCACCUAGGCGACGAUCCCUAGCUGGUCUGAGAGGAUGACCAGCCACACUGGAACUGAGACACGGUCCAGACUCCUACGGGAGGCAGCAGUGGGGAAUAUUGCACAAUGGGCGCAAGCCUGAUGCAGCGACGCCGCGUGCGGGAUGACGGCCUUCGGGUUGUAAACCGCUUUUGACUGGGAGCAAGCCCUUCGGGGUGAGUGUACCUUUCGAAUAAGCACCGGCUAACUACGUGCCAGCAGCCGCGGUAAUACGUAGGGUGCAAGCGUUAAUCGGAAUUACUGGGCGUAAAGGGUGCGCAGGCGGCUGUGCAAGACAGAUGUGAAAUCCCCGGGCUUAACCUGGGAACUGCAUUUGUGACUGCACGGCUAGAGUUUGUCAGAGGAGGGUGGAAUUCCGCGUGUAGCAGUGAAAUGCGUAGAUAUGCGGAAGAACACCAAUGGCGAAGGCAGCCCUCUGGGACAUGACUGACGCUCAUGCACGAAAGCGUGGGGAGCAAACAGGAUUAGAUACCCUGGUAGUCCACGCCCUAAACGAUGUCAGCUGAUUGUUCGGGAAGCAAUUCCUGGGUAACCAAGCCAACGCGUGAAGCUGACCGCCUGGGAAGUACGGUCGCAAGAUUAAAACUCAAAGGAAUUGACGGGGACCCGCACAAGCGGUGGAUGAUGUGGAUUAAUUCGACGCAACGCGAAAAACCUUACCUAGCCUUGACAUGUCAGGAAUCCGGAUGAAAGUCUGGAGUGCCCGCAAGGGAGCCUGAACACAGGUGCUGCAUGGCUGUCGUCAGCUCGUGUCGUGAGAUGUUGGGUUAAGUCCCGCAACGA
rnacentral:rRNA from 1 species